UACAGAGGGGGCAAGCGUUAUUCGGAAUUAUUGGGCGUAAAGGGCGCGUAGGCGGCCUGACAAGUGGAAGGUGAAAUCCCUCGGCUUAACCGAGGAACUGCCCUCCAAACUGUCUGGCUUGAGACCGGGAGAGGUGAGUGGAAUUCCCAGUGUAGCGGUGAAAUGCGUAGAUAUUGGGAGGAACACCAGUGGCGAAGGCGGCUCACUGGACCGGUACUGACGCUGAUGCGCGAAAGCGUGGGGAGCAAACGGG
rnacentral:rRNA from 1 species